rnacentral:tRNA from 1 species
ACCUCAUUAGUACAGUAGUUAGUAUCCCUGCCUUUCAUGCAGGAAACCCGAGUUCGAUUCCCCGAUGGGGAA